UACAGAGGUCUCAAGCGUUGUUCGGAUUCAUUGGGCGUAAAGGGUGCGUAGGUGGCGCCGUAAGUCAGGUGUGAAAUUUCGGAGCUUAACUCCGAAACUGCAUUUGAUACUGCGGUGCUUGAGGACUGGAGAGGAGACUGGAAUUCACGGUGUAGCAGUGAAAUGCGUAGAUAUCGUGAGGAAGACCAGUGGCGAAGGCGGGUCCCUGGACAGUUCCUGACACUGAGGCACGAAGGCCAGGGGAGCAAACGGG
rnacentral:rRNA from 1 species